UACUGAUGAAGUCCAAGAUUGCCCUUCCACCGCCUGGCAAAUUUGAGAAGGAGGAUGUCUAUGCAGCUAAAAGGUGGCGAAGAGUCCAGUACCUCGUCGAACAGUUCUGGAGCCGGUGGAAAAGAGAAUAUCUCACGAACAUCUCCACACGCCAAAAGUGGCAUACGACUCGACGGAACCUUAAGGUGGAUGACUUGGUCAUUGUAAAGGAAGAUACCCCUAGAAAUCAGUGGCACCUGGGACGAGUGGUUGAAGCCACACAGGAGAGUGAUGGACUAGUGCGUCGUGUCAAGGUGUUAGUAGGAGAAAGGACGUCAGUGAAACAAGAUCGCCCUACCAAACCUUUGAUAAUAGAAAGGCCCAUUCAGAAACUAGUUCUCCUCCUCGAGAGUGAUUGAUCAGUCUUACUGUUUACACUGUUUAUCCCCUCGUGACGUAGGUUACUCUCAGAGCCAAGUAGUACUUAUCUGCACAUAUCUAGAAACACUGAUACAGAUUUAAGACUCGAGUAUGAGCCGUUCAGCCAGGUUGAUCCUUUUCUUCACUCUUCAUAACAUGAGUGGUGGGAGUGUAGUUGGCCAGUAUCAGUGUUUUAUUAUGAUUAUCCUGUUUUUUAUAUUCUAUUUUAUGAGACUUUUAUUUUGACAUGCUAUCUGUAGGGGGGACUAUAUUUUCUCUGUGUUCGCACACUCACGCGCUCACUCAUGAACGGUGUAAACGCGGGAAGUAAAGCUAAUUCACGAAGUUUGUCCAAGUUUAAGUUAAAUGGUGGCAGAAACCCCCCUGGAUCACUAUUAGCACCCUUUGAUAUGCGGAGCGAGUUUUCACGGUGUUGAUGCUAUGCACGCUUGUCGGAAUAAAAGUGCACCCGUAUGGAAACACUCCCAAGCCUGUUUAUUCCAAGUUGAAGGGCUGCUACAACGACAGUAACCUAUUGUUAUUGUGAGAUGGCGUAACGUGAAUUCAUGUAUGUUUAUUUAGCUACGAGGUUUUGAGCCAGCAUAAGGGAUGUUUGUAACACAUUUUUGCCUUCCUAUUCUUAGGAAGCAUUCUUAUAUGCGCUAUUCACAUAUAUUCUUACUGACUGUUCUAAGUCAUAUUUGAGGUGACAUGUUACAAAGUGCAUUGUGUUCAUGUUUAAACGGAGUGAUUUAGAGUUUGAGUUGUAUUGAUUUUGAAUGAUUAGUGAUGAAGCCAUAUACAGCUACUAAUUCGAUAUUUUGCAUUUGCUGUAUGCAGACUGGUUUUUUUGUGUGUGUGUGCAUAUUUUGCCACUGUUGAGAGAGAGAGAGAGAGAUUCUACGGCGAGCCAGCGAUCCUGCGAUUCAGCGAUUCAGUGAUUCUGGAGUGUGACCGUAACCAGUGGCCAUCAACUCACCAAGUGGAUGGACCGCACAUUUUCGGAUACGUCGUACAGAUAAGAUUGAAAGAGAUCUCCAACGUUAUCACACACUGCCGGUAGUGAUUUGAAACAAGGCCUUUUGACAAACCACAUUGGAACUGAAUUGAUUGGAACUGAAACUCAACUGAGUUGAACAUUGAACUAUUUGACUGGACUGAUUUUUUUUUUUCUUUUCUUUUAACUGACGGACUAUUUUGGGGAAAUUUGUUAUUAUUGUUUCUUUUGUGUGUUUCACAAUCCAUCUGGAAUGUUAAAAUAAAUGUUUUGAUACUGCGUUUGCUAUUCAAACAGAGGUCGUAGCCAAUUCAUUUCAAGAGCCGAACCUAAUUCUGGUUUCUAAUAACUUAAAUAUCACUAAAAUAGGUCACUGUGGUAUACUAAUUGAUGUUUUAAGUAACUCUUGUUACACAUGUACACACAUUUUUCUUCUGAUGCAGAUAUACUGUACACAUGCCUUCCAUUUGUUACAGGUAUUAUAUCAGUGUUGGUGUGAAAUUUGUGACGCAUGCUGUAGU